CAGGCCUCAGGGGGCAGUGCGCAUACGUGGCUGUGGAAGAAGGAGACCAGCCUCCCUCUGAUGAUUUUUUACGCCCCUGUGGAGCACAGCUAAAUGAGGUUGGCACUGUUGUAAUAGAAGCCGUCUCAGGUGUCCCGCCUGAUGUUUUCUUGCAUUUGCUGACCGAUUUGUCUUCGUAUUUGCUCUAAUGGCGAGUCCAAGGCCUCAGCAUUAUCCAAACUGACACACCUUGCUGGACGAUGCCACAUCACCUGG